rnacentral:rRNA from 1 species
CGGAAUUACUGGGCGUAAAGCGAGCGUAGGUGGCUUGAUAAGUCAGAUGUGAAAGCCCCGGGCUUAACCUGGGAACGGCAUCUGAUACUGUUAGGCUAGAGUAGGUGAGAGGAAGGUGGAAUUCCAGGUGUAGCGGUGAAAUGCGUAGAGAUCUGGAGGAAUACCGAUGGCGAAGGCAGCCUUCUGGCAUCAUACUGACACUGAGGUUCGAAAGCGUGGGUAGCAAACAGGAUUAGAUACCCUGGUAGUCCACGCCGUAAACGAUGUCUACUAGUCGUUGGGUCCCUUGAGGACUUAGUGACGCAGCUAACGCAAUAAGUAGACCGCCUGGGGAGUACGGCCGCUAGGUUAAAGCUCAAAUGAAUUGACGGGGGCCCGCACAAGCGGUGGAGCAUGUGGUUUAAUUCGAUGCAACGCGAAGAACCUUACCUGGUCUUGACAUAUCUAGAAUCCUGCAGAGAUGCGGGAGUGCCUUCGGGAAUUAGAAUACAGGUGCUGCAUGGCUGUCGUCAGCUCGUGUCGUGAGGUGUUGGGUUAAGUCCCGCAACGAGCGCAACCCUUGUCCUUAGUUACCAGCGGUUUGGCCGGGAACUCUAAGGAUACUGCCAGUGACAAACUGGAGGAAGGCGGGGACGACGUCAAGUCAUCAUGGCCCUUACGACCAGGGCUACACACGUGCUACAAUGGUAGGUACAGAGGGCAGCUACACAGCGAUGUGAUGCGAAUCUCAAAAAGCCUAUCGUAGUCCAGAUUGGAGUCUGCAACUCGACUCCAUGAAGUAGGAAUCGCUAGUA